AUUUUCCGUAUUUAACUAAAUCAAUAUUAUCGUGAAUUCUAAAUGUCAAAUAAAUAGAGAUAGAAUUGGGUUUUUUUUCUUAUCUAGAAAGGGGAUGCUUUGCGUGUAAUUGAAAAUUUUUGAAACAGAAGUGAGAAAAAAUGCAUGUAUAAAUACAUAAUACUGGUCAAAUCUCUGUGGUGCCAACAAGGUCUUUAAAGAAGUGAUAUAUUCAUACAUAGCACAGGGCUGCCCCUUGAACAUUCAAAAUACACAUAUAAAGAUAUUUAUUCUUUUUUCAGUAGCGAUACAGAAGUACACUGUUGUCUUUGACAGCUUUCGGUCUGUUUCAUGUCAGUCUUGGGCCUGCUUGAGAUCAGAAAGCAGACCCUGAUUUUGUUUGGAUCUGUUUUCUGUUAGGAUAGUUCUGGUCGGUUCUGUGUGUCAACUGAAAUACACGAGAUUGUCAUUAAGCCUGUGAUAAAUUUGUAUUUUUUUAAAUUUUCAAUCAAAUAAUUGUUUGUGCUUUUGGAAAAAGUAAUAAUUCGAGGAGACUUAAGAUAUGUUGACAAUGGUAUCUUCUCCACACAUUGGUGUCAGAUUAUCCACCUUGAUUACUAUUUAAUUUUGUGGAUAUCAAGAAAAGGUGUUUUGCGAAUGAUAAUGAAACAAGAGUUUGUCUCGUCAUUUCUUAUCUCCCGAUUAUGUUUUAAGUGUCUAGAUAAAAUGAUUGUUUUUGGAUUCAUGUUUUAUAGGAUGAAUAUGGUUUAAUCUACCAGACUGUUUACGAUCAUCUGCAAACCACGUCAGAGAAUGUUUACUUUAAUCAAUAAUACUUGGUUUGGUCGCAAAAGGAAAUUUUGAUGAGGAGGAGGAAGAGGAUAAUAAUGAUGAUGAUAAUGAUGGUGAUAAUGAUGAUGACUUCGUCUAUUGUGCAAUAUUGCAUUUCGUAUUUUGUUUUUACUAAUGGCCCUUACAUAUAUUUUAUGAGUCAGAAAAAAAGUGUUCUAUCAUUGUAGCUAUAAUUUAGAUAACUAUUAUUACAUUAUAUUUUUCAAUUCUUCAUCAAUAAAUUUAUUAUUUCAUAACCUAUGCAUGAU
rnacentral:misc_RNA from 1 species